rnacentral:tRNA from 2 species
GGCCCAUUGGUCAAGUGGUUAAGACAUCGCCCUUUCACGGCGGUAACAGGGGUUCGAAUCCCCUAUGGGUCACCA